rnacentral:rRNA from 1 species
UCCGUAGGGUGAACCUGCGGAAGGAUCAUUAC